rnacentral:lncRNA from 1 species
ACCACUUCAACUUCAUCAUCCAACGAUGACCCAGCAUCAGCUUUGACAUAAGGAACAAUGAGAGCAAGAAAAACGAAGAAAAUAAACAAGACCCUCCGAGAAGAUGCCAUGUUGGAAUCCAAAGCCUGAGAAAAACUAAGGCUCUGGUGAUCUAAUAAAAGGGUUUUUCUACUGCCCCAGCUAGAUAUGUUUUGUUUGGUAUUAAGGUCUGCGUACAUACUACCCUCCCCGCGUACAUACUACCCUCCCCGGACCCCACUAAGUGGGAUUAUACUGGGUUGUUGUUGUUGUUGUAUGAAAAAGGCUUUAGACAAGAGGAGUUGCUCUGAUGGUAAGCAACCCCCACUUCCAACCGAGAGGUUGUUAGUUCGAGUCUCCCAAGAGCAAGAGCAAGGUGGGAAGUUCUUGGAGGGAAGAAUGCCGGGGGUCUAUUUGGAAACAGUCUCUCAACCCCCACUUCCAACCGAGAGGUUGUGAGUUCGAGUCUCCCCAAGAGCAAAGGUGGGAAGUUCUUGGAUGGAAGGAUGCCGGGGGUCUAUUUGGAAACAGUCUCUCUACCCCAGGGCAGGGUAAGGUCUGCGUACAUACUACGCUCCCCAGAAACCACUAAGUGGGAUUAUAUUGGGUUGUUGUUGUUGUUGGACUUCAAUUUGAAAUAUUGAAGCCAAUUUCACAAGUAGAGAAUUUCAACUUCAUAUUAUUUCACACUGCGUGGAUUGAAUGUGUAUCUUGACCUUAAAUAAGUUUUCUCAACAUCAACUCACAAAUCUUCAACUUUCACAAACUUUUCCCCCCAAAAAAACUACAACUAUCAAUAUACAACUUCAACUUCCACAAACUUCUUUUCAACUUCAGUUCAAAUAAUUACUCCACUUCCAUGAACUUCUAUUCAACUUCAGUUCAAAUAAUUACUUUUUCAACUUCACUCAGACUUUUACCAAACGCAUACUAAAGUACUUACAAGUAGCACCCUGCAUAAGAAGAAGGCAACAAACGGAAAUGUCCAACUUAAGUUCAUUUAAAAUAUAUCGAUGUUCAUAGACUCUCAGUCACGCUCUAUUUAAAAUGUUCGUCACUUUAAGAUGGGUGUAUGUGUGUUGAGGGGGAGGGGGGCAUAAAUCACAGAGCCACGGGAAAUGAAGCCAAAACAUGCAUAGUUCAACCCACUGAUACAUAGCCUCAAAGAAACACCAAAAAAAACAGAAGCUAAAAAAACUGAUAAACCUCAAGCAGUAAGCAAUAGACAAUCCUCAUUUUAUCCUCGCAUGUUACAUCGGCUGAUUUUUACAUUCAUGUUCCUCUAUCCUCCAAAAUAAAGAAAGACAAUGAAAAAGAAAGAACAUAGUAAUAGCUUACAGCAUUAGUUUCUAUUUGACAUACUCAUUACUACACCCUAUUUGAACAAUACAGAUAACUUAUCACAAGUCAACAGAAUAAUCUAUCACAACACUCACCUAAAAUCUCUUCCUUUUUAGAAGUCAAGCUCAUCAAUGUAAGAAAUCCAAAAAGUUAAGAGCUUCAAAAAACUCAGAACUAUUAGCUCAUCAAAUUAACCUCAUAAUAAAUCUACCCCUCUACAUCUAAUCUUCUAGCCAAGUAAACAAGACCACAAUCCAGAGACUACACUCUCCAAAACAUCAACUUAGCCAUUUCUACUACCGCUGUUGAACAUUAUAAGCAAUACAACAAAACACUGUUCAUUGUUUCAUCCUGUAAUAAUGUUCUACUCAUAAAACCUUUUUUUCUUCACAAUUCCAGCUCAUUAAUAACAAAUUUUAAAUACGAUAACACCUUUAAGACCAGAACAUGAAAACUCACAAAACCAAUUAUAAAUUUUCCAAGAAAAAGGGGGGAAAGUCAGAACUAACCUAAAGAUCGGAUCUUGGACUUAAGAAGGUCCAAUUCUUGAGAAGUGGGUUCAACAUCCGAUCUAACCACUUCAACUUCAUCAUCCAACGAUGACCCAGCAUCAGCUUUGACAUAAGGAACAAUGAGAGCAAGAAAAACGAAGAAAAUAAACAAGACCCUCCGAGAAGAUGCCAUGUUGGAAUCCAAAGCCUGAGAAAAACUAAGGCUCUGGUGAUCUAAUAAAAGGGUUUUUCUACUGCCCCAGCUAGAUAUGUUUUGUGGGUAUGUUUUUCCUGUUUUCGG